rnacentral:rRNA from 1 species
UACAGAGACUGCAAGCGUUAUUCGGAUUCACUGGGCGUAAAGGGUGCGCAGGUGGCCAGGUGUGUGAGGCGUGAAAGCCCGGGGCUUAACCCCGGAAUUGCACCUCAAACUACUUGGCUAGAGCAUUGGAGAGGGGAGCAGAAUUCAUGGUGUAGCAGUGAAAUGGCGUAGAUAUCAUGAGGAAUACCAGAGGCGAAGGCGGCGUCCCUCGGACAAUUGCUGACACUCAGGCACGAAAGCGUGGGGAGCAAAAGGG